AUUAUGUCAGGAGAUAGCAGUAUAUUACACUUCAGUUAAUCCAAUUUAUUGCCACCAAACUGGACGCUACCCGUAGUAUAUUAUUAGAAAAGCCACAGGAUCUUUGGCAUGGCCCAGUUAACGAAAACCGCUGACCCAAAUAAUGUAGGGGCUCAGUUUAAGUUAAGGUCAGCCGACAAGCAUAGCAAAGGAUGUCUGCAUUCAAACUACAUUUGGGAACAACGAAACGUAGCCAUAAGCGUUUUAUUAAUUUUAUCGAAUCUUCUAUAACUUUAAAGA